rnacentral:rRNA from 1 species
GACGUAGGGUGCGAGCGUUGUCCGGAUUUAUUGGGCGUAAAGAGCUCGUAGGCGGCUCGUCGCGUCGACCGUGAAAACCUGCGGCUUAACUGCGGGCUUGCGGUUGAUACGGGCGGGCUAGAGUUCGGUAGGGGAGACUGGAAUUCCUGGUGUAGCGGUGAAAUGCGCAGAUAUCAGGAGGAACACCGAUGGCGAAGGCAGGUCUCUGGGCCACUACUGACGCUGAGAAGCGAAAGCAUGGGGAGCGAACAGG